rnacentral:rRNA from 1 species
GACGAACGCUGGCGGCGUGCUUAACACAUGCAAGUCGAACGGAAAGGCCCUGCUUUUGUGGGGCGCUCGAGUGGCGAACGGGUGAGUAACACGCGAGUAACCUGCACUUGACUUUGGGAUAACUUCAGGAAACUGGGGCUCAUAUCGGAUAGGAGCUCCUGCUGCAUGGUGGGGGUUGGAAAGUUUCGGCGGUUGGGGAUGGACUCGCGGCUUCUCAGCUUGUUGGUGGGGUAGUGGCUUACCAAGGCUUUGAAGGGUAGCCGGCCUGGGAGGGGGACCGGCCACAUGGGGACUAAGAUACGGCGCAGACUCCUACGGGAGGCAGCAGGGGGGAAUAUUGCACAGUGGGGGGGAGCCUGAUGCAGCAACGCCGCGUGCGGAAUGACGGCCUUCGAGUUGUAAACCGCUUUCGCCUGUGACGAAGCGUUAGUGACGGUAAUGGGUAAAGAAGCACCGGCUAACUACGUG